AUUGAACGCUGGCGGCAGGCUUAACACAUGCAAGUCGAGCGGGGUGAUGGUGCUUGCACUAUCACUUAGCGGCGGACGGGUGAGUAAUGCUUAGGAAUCUGCCUAUUAGUGGGGGACAACAUCUCGAAAGGGAUGCUAAUACCGCAUACGUCCUACGGGAGAAAGCAGGGGAUCACUUGUGACCUUGCGCUAAUAGAUGAGCCUAAGUCGGAUUAGCUAGUUGGUGGGGUAAAGACCUACCAAGGCGACGAUCUGUAGCGGGUCUGAGCGGAUGUACCGCCACACUGGGACUGAGAAACGGACCAGACACCUACGGGAGGCAGCAGUGGGGAAUAUUUGACAAUGAGGUGAAACCUGAUCCAGCCAUGCCGCGUGUGUGAAGCAGGUCUUAUGGUUGUAAAGCACUUUAAGCGAGGAGGAGUCUCUUUUGGUUAAUACCCAAGAUGAGUGGACGUUACUCGCAGAAUAAGCACCGGCUAACUCUGUGCCAGCCGCCGCCGUAA
rnacentral:rRNA from 1 species